rnacentral:rRNA from 1 species
AGUGGCGGACGGGUGAGUAACGCGUGAGAAUCUGCCUUGGGGUCGGGGACAACCACUGGAAACGGUGGCUAAUACCGGAUAAGCCGAUUGGUGAAAGAUUUAUUGCCCGAAGAGGAGCUCGCGUCUGAUUAGCUAGUUGGUGAGGUAAGAGCUCACCAAGGCAGCGAUCAGUAGCUGGUCUGAGAGGACGAUCAGCCACACUGGGACUGAGACACGGCCCAGACUCCUACGGGAGGCAGCAGUGGGGAAUUUUCCGCAAUGGGCGAAAGCCUGACGGAGCAAGACCGCGUGAGGGAGGAAGGCUCUUGGGUUGUAAACCUCUUUUCUCAGGGAAGAAGCUCUGACGGUACCUGAGGAAUCAGCCUCGGCUAACUCCGUGCCAGCAGCCGCGGUAAUACGGAGGAGGCAAGCGUUAUCCGGAAUUAUUGGGCGUAAAGCGUCCGCAGGUGGCGAUUCAAGUCUGCUGUCAAAGCACGGGGCUUAACUCCGUAAAGGCAGUGGAAACUGAAUAGCUAGAGUGCCGUAGGGGUAGAGGGAAUUCCCGGUGUAGCGGUGAAAUGCGUAGAGAUCGGGAAGAACAUCGGUGGCGAAAGCGCUCUACUGGACGGCAACUGACACUCAGGGACGAAAGCUAGGGUAGCGAAUGGGAUUAGAUACCCC